CAGCAGCAGCCGCGGUAAUACGUAGGUGGCAAGCGCUGUCCGGAAUUAUUGGGCGUAAAGGGCUCGCAGGCGGUUUCUUAAGUCUGAUGUGAAAGCCCCCGGCUCAACCGGGGAGGGUCAUUGGAAACUGGGAAACUUGAGUGCAGAAGAGGAGAGUGGAAUUCCACGUGUAGCGGUGAGAUGCGUAGAGAUGUGGAGGAACACCAGUGGCGAAGGCGACUCUCUGGUCCGUAACUGACGCUGAGGAGCGAAAGCGUGGGGAGCGAACAGGAUUAGAUACCCGGGUAGUCCCUGUCUCUUAUAC
rnacentral:rRNA from 1 species